rnacentral:rRNA from 1 species
CCUACGGGAGGCAGCAGUAGGGAAUUUUCGUCAAUGGGCGCAAGCCUGAACGAGCGAUGCCGCGUGAGUGAAGAAGGCCUUCGGGUCGUAAAGCUCUGUUGCGGGGGAAAAAAGGCAGCAUCAGGAAAUGGGUGCUGACUGAUGGUGCCCCGCCAGAAAGUCACGGCUAACUACGUGCCAGCAGCCGCGGUAAUACGUAGGUGGCGAGCGUUAUCCGGAAGGAUUGGGCGUAAAGGGUGCGCAGGCGGUCCUGCAAGUCUGGAGUGAAACGCAUGAGCUCAACUCAUGCAUGGCUUUGGAAACUGGAGGACUGGAGAGCAGGAGAGGGCGGUGGAACUCCAUGUGUAGCGGUAAAAUGCGUAGAUAUAUGGAAGAACACCAGUGGCGAAGGCGGCCGCCUGGCCUGUUGCUGACGCUGAUGCACGAAAGCGUGGGGAGCAAAUAGGAUUAGAUACCCUAGUAGUC